GUGGGGAAUAUUGGACAAUGGGCGAAAGCCUGAUCCAGCCAUGCCGCGUGUGUGAAGAAGGCCUUUUGGUUGUAAAGCACUUUAAGCGAGGAGGAGGCUACCGAGAUUAAUACUCUUGGAUAGUGGACGUUACUCGCAGAAUAAGCACCGGCUAACUCUGUGCCAGCAGCCGCGGUAAUACAGAGGGUGCGAGCGUUAAUCGGAUUUACUGGGCGUAAAGCGUGCGUAGGCGGCUUUUUAAGUCGGAUGUGAAAUCCCUGAGCUUAACUUAGGAAUUGCAUUCGAUACUGGUUGGCUAGAGUAUGGGAGAGGAUGGUAGAAUUCCAGGUGUAGCGGUGAAAUGCGUAGAGAUCUGGAGGAAUACCGAUGGCGAAGGCAGCCAUCUGGCCUAAUACUGACACUGAGGUGCGAAAGCAUGGGGAGCAAACAGGAUUAGAUACCCCGGUAGUCC
rnacentral:rRNA from 1 species